rnacentral:lncRNA from 1 species
GGAAGUGAUACGUGGGCUGAAGAAUGCUAAUCCAAAGCUCAAGGGGAAAAAUGGAAGUUACAAGCCAGGAACCUAACGAGCAAAGGAGAGAGCACAAUUGGCCCACUUCUGACUAAAAGGCUUAGGAUUGAGAAUACUGAGCCAAGUCCAGAAAAGAAAAGAUAAAAAAUGGGGAGUCCAUGUUAUCCUUUAACCAACGUUAUUAAAACAAAUUCC